GGGGGCGUAGGUCAGUGGUAGACUGCGGGUCUCCAAAACCCGAUACGGGAGUUCGAUUCUCUCCGCCCCUG
rnacentral:tRNA from 1 species